rnacentral:rRNA from 1 species
UGGGGAAUAUUGGGCAGUGGGCGAAAGCCUGACCCAGCGACGCCGCGUGGGUGAUGAAGGCCUUCGGGUUGUAUAACCCUUUCGUGCGGAAAGAAUAGUCCUGUAGCGAUUAACUAUUGGUUUUGACGGUACCGCAGGAAGAAGCACCGGCUUAUUCCGUUCCAGCUGCUGCGGUUCUACGGGGGGUGCUAGCGUUGUUUGGAAUUAUUGGGCGUAAAGGGCGCGUAGGUGGUUGUGAUAGUCAGAUGUGAAAUCCUUCGGCACAACCGAAGAACGGCAACUGAAACUGCAUAGCGCGAGUACAGGAGAGGGAAACGGAAUUCGCGGUGUAGAGGUGAAAUGCGUAGAUAUCGGGAGGAACACCAGUGGCGAAGGCGGUUUCCUGGCCUGAUACUGACGCUGAGGCGCGAAAGCGUGGGGAGCAAACAG